GGCCUAUAGCUCAGUUGGUUAGAGCAUCUGACUCAUAAUCAGAGGGUCCAUGGUUCAAAUCCAUGUGGGCCCACCC
rnacentral:tRNA from 1 species